rnacentral:ribozyme from 13 species
CAUAACAAAGAAGAGACAAGAGAUAAAGCAGUUACAGGUCUGAGUGCAUUGUGAUCCCCAGGAACUUCAAUAUAUUUCUUUUCCGGCUCUUCCUUCACCUUUUCAGCAUAACGAGAAAAAAGACUAAAAGUUUGAGAUU